CACGCCGUAAACGAUGGGCACUAGGUGUUCGGGGUAUUGACCCCCUGAGUGCCGCAGCUAACGCAUUAAGUGCCCCGCCUGGGGANAACGCGAAGAACCUUACCUGGGCUAGACAACAUCGGACAGCCCCAGAAAUGGGGUCUCCCCGCAAGGGGCCGGUGGUUCAGGUGC
rnacentral:rRNA from 1 species